rnacentral:rRNA from 1 species
CUACGGGUUGCACCAGGCGCGAAACCUUUACAAUGCACGAAAGUGUGAUAAGGGAAUCCUGAGUGCUUUGCUUUCGGGUAAAGCUUUUGUUAAGUGUAAAAAGCUUAGCGAAUAAGUGGUGGGUAAGACGGGUGCCAGCCGCCGCGGUAACACCUGCGCCACGAGUGGCAAUCAUGUUUAUUGGGUCUAAAGCGUUCGUAGCCGGUUUGAUAAGUUCUUUGUGAAAUUGAUGAGCUUAACUCAUCAACGUGCAAGGAAUACUGUCAGACUAGGGACCGGGAGGAGAUAGGAGUACCCUUUGGGGAGCGGUAGAAUGUUGUAAUCCUUAGGGGACUACCAGUGGCGAAGGCGCCUAUCCAGAACGGCUCCGACGGUGAGGAACGAAGGCUAGGGGAGCAAAACGGAUUAGAUACCCGGUAGUC